GACGAACCGUGCGAACGUUAUUCGGAAUCACUGGGCGUAAAGCGCGCGUAGGCGGAGGGGAAAGUCGGGUGUGAAAUCCCUGGGCUCAACCCAGGAACUGCAUUCGAAACUUCCCAUCUUGAGUGACGGAGAGGAUAGUGGAAUUCCGCGUGUAGCAGUGAAAUGCGUAGAUAUGCGGAGGAACACCGAUGGCGAAGGCAAUCCCCUGGGCCUGCACUGAGCUCAUGCACGAAAGCGUGGGGAGCAAACAGG
rnacentral:rRNA from 1 species